AUGUCACAGCACUGUUUUUCUUUUUUUUUUUUUCUAACCCUGAACAGCUCUAAUUAAACUGGCAAUGACUGGACAGCAGACCUGUCUGAAGGGAAACAAACAGAAACGUUGGUUGAGUAAACGGGAUCCGAGCCGAGUCAUGACAGCAGCUAAAGAGACCCUGGUGAUGGAGGUGGGAUGCUCUGCAGACAAGCUGUCCUGAGCUUUUAGUAAUGGUUUGUGGUUUUGGGGUGUGUUUUGGAUUAAAUAGUGUCUCAUAAUGCAACCAAUUUCAAACCGCUUGAUUGAUGUUGGAGAAUAAUUUUAUUAAUACCAUAUGCUUUGAACCCUAAUGGUGUUCUUCUGUGUAAUUUAUAAACACUUUGUCAUGAUCCUGAUGCUGUUCCAGGUUUGUUUGUCAUGUUUUCCCCUCCCAUCCUGGAGGGCAGAGCCGUUCCUCCUCCACUAAAGCUCAUCAUGUCAUAUCCACCCACGGUGGUUGUGUGCAGGCUGGGUGCAGGCUGUGUUUUUGUGCUGUGUUUCUUUCCUUCUACUCGGGGUGUGACUGGCAGGUGCUUCUGCGCAGCUGUUGCUCAUCAGGGAGCAAUCAACCUGGGCUUUAAGAGGAGUGGAGAACCAGAGGGAGGCGUCUGCUCGUUGUCUCACAUAGCGUGGAAGAUGUUUUUUGACGGAGAUUCUGUGGUCUUUUGUGCCUCCAGUUAAUUCUUGCCAUGUUCUUCUGAGGAUCAAGGUAAUUCAUGCCUCGAUGUCUCAGCUGUGAGCCUCCACGCUGCCUCCUCCCCGGACCCAGGGUUCUAGAGUUCACCUGCUUCUGAAAACCUUCCACCUGCCUGUCCACCCUCCCACAGAAAUACCCCCUUUUAUGGAAAGGAUCAAAAACAAGGAAACACUGAGUCUGAAGAACCUGGAAACACUUUCCCUUCAGCUGCACCCAUCUGCCAACCUCAACCAUCGUGGAACAGCAUUAUUCCUCCCAGGUUUAGCUGAGAGUUCUGCCUUCUGAGACCUCAAUCCUGUUGCUGAUAUAGUCCUGGUUCCAGAGCACAUCUACUCCUGUAAAACCUAAUAAAUU